rnacentral:rRNA from 1 species
AUUGAACGCUGGCGGCAGGCCUAACACAUGCAAGUCGAGCGGAGCGGCGGACGGGGGAGUAAUGCCUAGGAAUAUGCCUGGUAGUGGGGGAUAACGUCCGGAACUGGGCGCUAAUACCGCUUACUAUCAGAUGAGUCUCGGCGGGAUUAGCUAGUGGGUGGGGUAAAGGCCUACCAAGGCGCCGAUCCGUACCUGGUCUGAGAGGAUGAUCAGUCACACUGGAACUGGGAAACGGUCCAGACUCCUACGGGAGGCAGCAGUGGGGAAUAUUGGACAAUGGGCGAAAGCCUGAUCCAGCCAUGCCGCGUGUGUGAAGAAGGUCUUCGGAUGGUAAAGCACUUUAAGUUGGGAGGCGUUACCAACAGAAUAAGCACCGGCUAACUUCGUGCCAGCAGCCGCGGUAAUUC